UUAUACGAGAGGCCCAAGUUGACAACAGUCGGCGUAAAGCGUGGUUAGGCCAUCAACCCCCACUAAAGUCGAAUGCCCUCAAAGCUGUUAUACGCACCCGAGGGUUAGAAGUUCAAAUACGAAAGUAACUUUAUAAGUCUGAACCCACGAAAGCUACGGCACAAACUGGGAUUAGAAACCCCACUAUGCCUAGCCCUAAACAUUGGCAACACAAAACACCCGUUGCCCGCCCGGGCA
rnacentral:rRNA from 1 species